rnacentral:tRNA from 1 species
UGGUUUAGUGGUUAAUACUUAAGUAUUAUAAGCUUAAAGUCAUGAGAUCAAAUCUUAU